UAAACGACUCUCGGCAACGGAUAUCUCGGCUCACGCAUCGAUGAAGAACGUAGCAAAAUGCGAUACUUGGUGUGAAUUGCAGAAUCCCGUGAACCAUCGAGUUUUUGAACGCAAGUUGCGCCCGAAGCCUUCUGGCCGAGGGCACGUCUGCCUGGGCGUCACAC
rnacentral:rRNA from 2 species